rnacentral:rRNA from 1 species
AUUGAACGCUGGCGGCAUGCCUUACACAUGCAAGUCGAACGGUAACAGGUCUUCGGAUGCUGACGAGUGGCGAACGGGUGAGUAAUACAUCGGAACGUGCCCGAUCGUGGGGGAUAACGAAGCGAAAGCUUUGCUAAUACCGCAUACGAUCUACGGAUGAAAGCAGGGGACCGCAAGGCCUUGCGCGAACGGAGCGGCCGAUGGCAGAUUAGGUAGUUGGUGGGAUAAAAGCUUACCAAGCCGACGAUCUGUAGCUGGUCUGAGAGGACGACCAGCCACACUGGGACUGAGACACGGCCCAGACUCCUACGGGAGGCAGCAGUGGGGAAUUUUGGACAAUGGGCGAAAGCCUGAUCCAGCCAUGCCGCGUGCAGGAUGAAGGCCUUCGGGUUGUAAACUGCUUUUGUACGGUACGAAAAGACUCUGGUUAAUACCUGGGGUCCAUGACGGUACCGUAAGAAUAAGCACCGGCUAACUACGUG